GCUGACACAUUCCAGCCAAUCAGCAGCAGACCCUCCCUCCCAGACUCUCCCACCUCCUGGACAGCAUCCAUUUUGAAGCUGCAUUCUUAGUGAGCUGUCCAGGAGGUGGCAGGGUCUGGGAGGGAGUGUCUGCUGCUGAUUGGCUGGAAUGUGUCAG